rnacentral:rRNA from 1 species
CCUACGGGUGGCAGCAGUGAGGAAUAUUGGUCAAUGGCCGAGAGGCUGAACCAGCCAAGUCGCGUGAGGGAAGAAGGCCCUACGGGUUGUAAACCUCUUUUGUCGGGGAGCAAAGAGAGGGACGUGUGACUCAUUGCAAGUACCCGAAGAAAAAGCAUCGGCUAACUCCGUGCCAGCAGCCGAGGUAAUACGGAGGAUGCGAGCGUUAUCCGGAUUUAUUGGGUUUAAAGGGUGCGCAGGCGGAGGUGCAAGUCAGCGGUAAAAUGGCGGGGCUCAACCCCGUACUGCCGUUGAAACUGCAUCUCUUGAGUGCGCGAGAGGUAUGCGGAAUGCGUGGUGUAGCGGUGAAAUGCAUAGAUAUCACGCAGAACUCCGAUUGCGAAGGCAGCAUACCGGCGCGUGACUGACGCUCAUGCACGAAAGCGUGGGUAUCGAACAGGAUUAGAUACCCUGGUAGUC